ensembl:Mt_tRNA
AUAAGGCUCUAGUAAAACAGAAAUUACGUACUGCCUUGUCGAGGCAGAAGUGUAGGUUAAACUCCUGCGUGCCUUGCA